rnacentral:rRNA from 1 species
AUGGAUGUCUGGGUGAUGCAGGAUUACGAUGCUGAAAUCUGGGCUUUCAAGUACCGGAUCGACCUCUCAACCGUGGAGGCAUCAAGGCAACUUUAUUCAACUUCUUUUGCAAAGAGAAGGAUAAGGUCACUUGAUUCUACGGUGCGAUUGUUGAACGAUGUGGCUGUGCUAAACAAGUGUGAGCUGCAGGUCAUGUUCAAUAAGAAGCAUGUGUUGCGCUGCGAUGUUGAUGGCAAGUUCCUAGGUGUUGUGAACAUUGGGAAGAGUCACUAUUGCAUGUUGCUUACUCACCACCGCCUACAGGAGAGCAUCGUUCCGAUUCCAGGUCAUGAUAUGAUGCAAGAAAAGCCGAGGAGCCUCCGUUCUCCACAGGGCAUGUCUGAAUGCUGUGCGUAUUAUCAGUGCUUCUAUGAUAGCGACAGGGCAGACCUGAAGCACAUAUUGGUCCAGUUUGUAGUCAAUCUGUAA